rnacentral:rRNA from 1 species
GACGAACGCUGGCGGCGUGCUUAACACAUGCAAGUCAAGGGGGCCCGCAAGGGUAACCGGCGAACGGGUGCGUAACACGUGAGCAAUCUGCCUAGAUGUGGGGGAUAGCCGGCCCAACGGCCGGGUAAUACCGCAUACGCUCGUCGACUGGCAUCAGUUGACGAGGAAACUUUCGAGGCAUCUAGAGGAGCUCGCGGCCUAUCAGCUAGUUGGUGGGGUAACGGCCUACCAAGGCGGUGACGGGUAGCUGGUCUGAGAGGAUGGCCAGCCACAUUGGGACUGAGAUACGGCCCAGACUCCUACGGGAGGCAGCAGUGGGGAAUAUUGCGCAAUGGCCGAAAGGCUGACGCAGCGACGCCGCGUGGGGGGAUGAAGCAUUUCGGUGUGUAAACCCCUGUUGCUCGGGACGAACAAGCCUUUUCGAGGGCUCUGACGGUACCGAGUGAGGAAGCACCGGCUAACUCCGUGCCAGCAGCCGCGGUAAU